rnacentral:rRNA from 1 species
UACGUAGGGUGCAAGCGUUGUCCGGAAUUAUUGGGCGUAAAGAGCGUGUAGGCGGCCAGGUAGGUCGGUUGUGAAAACUGGAGGCUCAACCUUCAGAGGUCGACCGAAACCAUCUGGCUAGAGUCCGGGAGAGGAGAGUGGAAUUCCUGGUGUAGCGGUGAAAUGCGCAGAUAUCAGGAAGAACACCCGUGGCGAAAGCGGCUCUCUGGAACGGUACUGACGCUGAGACGCGAAAGCGUGGGGAGCGAACCGG